CGGCCUCCCGGCGCCGGUAACGGCAACUCUCGGCCCGAGCUGUCGUUUACUCGCACAGCAGCCAGUGCUGUCGCAACCGUGGUCCCUCUUACGAUUCAAGUGCAGUAGCGCGAGGUAAAUUUAGGUGCGCCUUUUGCUCUCGCCUGCUGAUGGGUGAAUCUCAGCCCGAUAGUCAAACUUUCUCUCUGGUAAGAACCAGUUUCGUUCGGUGGUCCUCAUUGGCAAGCUUUCAGAGGUCACAAAGAAGUUUCAGAUACACAGAUUUCCUUUCCUUGCCUUUUUUUUUUUUACCACAAACCCACUACAUCAGCAAAGCGUUCUGGAUCACAGACCAUCACUUCUACCAAUUAAUGGACACAGCCAGACAUUGGGAAACUAUGAGGCUCUAGUCCUGUGAAGAGGACAGUUUUGGCCAAUGGUUAGACAUCAGAACAGAAGGAUCAAAUCUUGAAUUUUAAAAGGACUGAAGAUUAAAAGAAAAAAUACCUUUGUGUAAAUCAUCUUGAAUGCAUGGAUAAUUCCCAUGUACUUGUGUUCCCCUUUUACUUGGAACGCCAGACGAACUCUAACCAUAUCAAGAGGGUGUAUCAUAUCCCCUCCUUUCCACAAAGUCAGAAGAAAACCACAACAGGGAAGGGCAAAAAAAAAAAAAAAAAAAAAAAACCCAAACACAACACAACUCCAGCAAACAAACUCUUCAUAACUUUUAUGUCUGGAGAGAAAAAAAAGCAACCUUUGCAAGCUGAGUGAUUUGGUAGAUGAGAUCAUGAUUAGAUGGGGAGGGAAAAAAAAAACAAAACAACAACAAAAACAAAAACAUUAACACCUUAAGUGGGCUAAAAAGCUGACACUGGUCAACUGUCAACUGAGAGUAAAGUUUGUGGCAUUUUGGAGUAUCCUACCAGUAAUUUAUUUUAGAAGACAAAAACAUCUCUGUCAGGGAUUUUGGACAAUUCCUCUGAACAAAAAGGAGACAUCUGCAGUUGAUUUCUGAUGUUGUCUCACCCAUAGGGUUCAAAAGUUGGAAGCUGCAAAACAUCAGAGCAACUUUAGGACUUUCCACUGACCUACAUCAUUAAAGGCAAUCCCUCAGACUACAGCCUUUUCCUAAUGGAUUGCCUGAGAUGUCCAGAAAUGUUGUAAAAUGUAUGAAUUCAAGCAGUUUAGAAAAAACUAAAAUAGAGGGGGAAAAAAGCUUUUACAGCGCUUAAGAGUUCACAGGAAAGUCAUCCCACUUCAGAAAAGAAGCAAAUUUAUCCCCCCUUCUCUUUCCAGUUAUGCACUGCUAUGCAUCCAGGAAUAUUCUCUGAACAAAGACUAGCAAACAGACCAACCAAGAGCUUGUCCAACAAUCAAACGAUUGAAAAAAAAAAAAAAAUCAGAUGUAACUGAAAGAAACCGUAUGUAGUAAGGAUUUAAAUGGAUCUUU